UGAUUGAGGUGAUUCGGGCUGCAACAUCUGCACCCCAUUGAUCGCCAGGGUUUGAUUUGGCUGAUCUGCUGGCUAGGCUGGUGGCCCCUUCCUCCCUCACCGGCUCCAUGUCGUCCCUUCCCAAGCGCAAGCUCAGUUGAGAGACGACCAAUCCCCGUGAGGAGGACCGUUCUUCGCGUCAUAGGUAUACGAGUAGCCUGCGCUCCCUCAGAACCUCCCAGAACAGCCUCAGCCCAUUUACUACAAAAAAUAAAAAUAAAAAAAAUAUUGAUUAUUU
rnacentral:snRNA from 1 species